rnacentral:rRNA from 1 species
CAGCAGCCGCGGUAAUACGGAGGGUGCGAGCGUUAAUCGGAAUUACUGGGCGUAAAGGGCGCGUAGGCGGCCGAUCAAGUCAGAUGUGAAAGCCCUGGGCUUAACCCAGGAAGUGCAUUUGAAACUGUUCGGCUUGAGUAGGGGAGAGGGAAGUGGAAUUCCUGGUGUAGAGGUGAAAUUCGUAGAUAUCAGGAGGAACACCGGUGGCGAAGGCGACUUCCUGGCCCUAUACUGACGCUGAGACGCGAGAGCGUGGGUAGCAAACAGGAUUAGAUACCCUGGUAGUCCACGCCGUAAACGAUGUUCACUAGGUGUUGGGGGUAUUGACCCCCUCAGUGCCGGAGCUAACGCAUUAAGUGAACCGCCUGGGGAGUACGGUCGCAAGACUAAAACUCAAAGGAAUUGACGGGG